rnacentral:misc_RNA from 1 species
AAGUCGUAACAAGGUUUCCGUAGGUGAACCUGCGGAAGGAUCAUCAUUGAAAAAUGUAUUUUGUGAUCUAUUCAAAAAAAAAACAAACAAAUUCCAGGCGAAGAAAAAUUAUCUUUGUCUUGGUCGUGUUGGUUAAUGUUAUCCAGAAACCUGUGGCCUGAUUAAUCUAAAUUGGGGUUUUUUUGGAUGUCCAAAACAUUACUAAUGUGCUUCAGGCCGAAAACCAAACCUGUUAGUCAAAAGUGGGCGGCACUUUGACCAAACAGUUAUACUCACAACCGACCACCAAAAAAACAACUUUCGGCAACGGAUCUCUCGGCUCACC